rnacentral:rRNA from 1 species
UGAACGCUGGCGGCGUGCCUAAUACAUGCAAGUCGAGCGAACAGACGAGGAGCUUGCUCCUCUGCCGUUAGCGGCGGACGGGUGAGUAACACGUGGAUAACCUACCUAUAAGACUGGGAUAACUUCGGGAAACCGGAGCUAAUACCGGAUAAUAUAUUGAACCGCAUGGUUCAAUAGUGAAAGACGGUUUUGCUGUCACUUAUAGAUGGAUCCGCGCCGCAUUAGCUAGUUGGUAAGGUAACGGCUUACCAAGGCAACGAUGCGUAGCCGACCUGAGAGGGUGAUCGGCCACACUGGAACUGAGACACGGUCCAGACUCCUAAGGGAGGCAGCAGUAGGGAAUCUUCCGCAAUGGGCGAAAGCCUGACGGAGCAACGCCGCGUGAGUGAUGAAGGUCUUCGGAUCGUAAAACUCUGUUAUUAGGGAAGAACAAAUGUGUAAGUAACUAUGCACGUCUUGACGGUACCUAAUCAGAAAGCCACGGCUAACUACGUG